CAACAGGGAUUGCCCCAGUAAUGGCGAAUGAAGCGGCAAGAGCCCAAAUUUGAAAUCGGGCAACCGAGUUGUAAUUUGGAGACGGGACACUAGAGAGGAGGAAGGCGAUUAAGUGCCUUGGAACAGGCUGCCGUAGAGGGUGAGAGCCCCGUGAAUCGCUGGAGACCGAUCAAUUAGUGCCCGCCGAAGAGUCGAGUUGUUUGGGAAUGCAGCUCUAAGUGGGUGGUAUAUUCCAUCUAAGGCUAAAUAUUAGCGAGAGACCGAUAGCAAACAAGUACAGUGAUGGAAAGAUGAAAAGAACUUUGGAAAGAGAGUGAAAUAGUACGUGAAAUUGUUGAAAGGGAAGGGUAUUUGAUCCGACAUGGUGUUUAGCAGCGGCCCGUUCCUCGUGGAUGGGUGCACCUGGUUUACACUGGGCCAGCAUCGGUUCUGGGAGCCAUAUACGGGGUUCGUGAAUGUGGCCCUUCGAUUCUGUCGGAGGGUGUUAUAGCGCGGACAUCUUGUGGCUAGCCGGGACCGGGGACUGC
rnacentral:rRNA from 1 species